UACGUAGGGUGCAAGCGUUAUCCGGAAUUAUUGGGCGUAAAGAGCUCGUAGGCGGUUUGUCGCGUCUGCUGUGGAAACUGGAGGCUCAACCUCCAGCCUGCAGUGGGUACGGGCAGACUAGAGUGCGGUAGGGGAGAUUGGAAUUCCUGGUGUAGCGGUGGAAUGCGCAGAUAUCAGGAGGAACACCGAUGGCGAAGGCAGAUCUCUGGGCCGUAACUGACGCUGAGGAGCGAAAGCAUGGGGAGCGAACAGG
rnacentral:rRNA from 1 species